CCUGGGAAACCCUGGGCUCUUUGUCCCACUUCAUGUUUGCUGAGUGGCCCCAGGCAAUCUUGAGGUGUAUGUGCCUCAGUGCACCACCAGGCUAAUUUGUGUACAGUGUAAAAGUAAAGAAGUGAUAUCAAAAACAAUGAAAAA
rnacentral:lncRNA from 1 species